rnacentral:tRNA from 1 species
GGGGGUGUAGCUCAGCUGGGAGAGCACUUGCUUUGCAAGCAAGGGGUUGGCGGUUCGAAUCCGCUCACCUCCACCA